CUCACAUCCACACAGAUGUGAAUGUGAAGAUCCCAUUGAAAAGUCAAGAUGGUUGUGUGGAUAAGACACAUUCAGAUACCUGCAUUCUGCCCUCUUAGGAUAUACACAGCAGAGAGUCCCCAAACAGUGGCUUUAAUUUCUCAACAUGAAGCCAUCAUGUGUAGCAUGGAAAUCAUAAUACACCCCUGACUCACAGGGGUUCAGUAGUGAUUGGUCAUGGACUGAGAUUAGUCAUGUAAACAAUAGAAGUCAUCUAAAAACAAACAAGAUAGCAUUGUUAAGAGGGAGCAAGGAGAAAAGAGUUUGGUGCAAUGUCUAUGCAGCAGGUAUAAUGAAUACAGCUGUUUUUAUUCUUAACUAUGCCUUUAAAAAAAAAAAAAAA